rnacentral:lncRNA from 1 species
AGGCUCUAAAGAGCCUGUGUCGCUCACCUUGGUACAUGUGAAUAUUUAACAAAAGAAGCAGAUAGAUUCAUGACAAAAUUGUGUUUUGGUGAUGGUGAUGUGUUUGUACAUCUUACUUUACUGAACAUUCUUGCUGCUUACAAUUAUCUCUAUCUAUAAUGAACUUGGCCCAGUAGUUUCAGUGGAAAAUAUUAGUAAAAAUUUACAAAUUUUAUGAAAAUUGUUAAAAAUUUACUAUAAAGGACAAUAACUCCUUAGGGGGUCAACUGACCAUUUCGGUCAUGUUGACUUACUUGUAAAUCUUACUUUGCUGAACAUUAUUGCUGUUUUCAGUUUAUCUCUAUCUAUGAUAAUAUUCAAG